CAAGGAGUCUAGCAUGUGCGCGAGUCAUUGGGAAUCACUAAACCUAAAGGCGCAAUGAAAGUGAAGGUCUUCCUUGCGAAGACCGAGGGAAGACGGGCGGUUCACCCUUAAAAGUGGCCGCUCCGCAUUCCCGGGGCGUCUCGUUCUCAUCGCGAGAAGAGGCGCACCAAGAGCGUACACGCUGGGACCCGAAAGAUGGUGAACUAUGCCUGGUCAGGACGAAGUCAGGGGAAACCCUGAUGGAGGUCCGUAGCGAUUCUGACGUGCAAAUCGAUCGUCGGAACUGGGUAUAGGGGCGAAAGACUAAUCGAACCAUCUAGUAGCUGGUUCCCUCCGAAGUUUCCCUCAGGAUAGCUGGCGCUCGUUGCGCACGAGUCUCAUCCGGUAAAGCGAAUGAUUAGAGGCAUUGGGGUCGAAACGACCUCAACCUAUUCUCAAACUUUAAAUGGGUGAGAUCUCCGGCUUGCUCGAACUUAUGAAGCCGCGAGACACGGAUCAGAGUGCCAAGUGGGCCAUUUUUGGUAAGC
rnacentral:rRNA from 1 species